rnacentral:RNase_P_RNA from 1 species
GCGGCCUGAACGGUCGCGUGCCGGUUUCCGGCAUGAGGAAAGUCCGGGCUGCACAGGGCGAGGAUAACAGAUAACGUCUGCCGGAGGCGACUCCCGGAAUAGUGCAACAGAGAGAUACCGCCGCGUAUUUUACGCGGUAAGGGUGGAAAGGCGAGGUAAGAGCUCACCGCGCCCCGUGGUAACACGGGGGGCCUGUAAACUCUAUCCGCAGCAACAUCGACCGGGGCUAUGAUCGGCCCGAUCGCUCCAACUGAUGGCUUGAGGCGGGCAGUGAUGUCCGUCCCAGAUAGAUGACCGUUCCAGACAGAACCCGGCUUACAGGGCCGCUCG